UACGUAGGUGGCAAGCGUUGUCCGGAUUUAUUGGGCGUAAAGCGAGCGCAGGCGGUUUUUUAGGUCUGAUGUGAAAGCCUUCGGCUUAACCGGAGAAGUGCAUCGGAAACCGGGAGACUUGAGUGCAGAAGAGGACAGUGGAACUCCAUGUGUAGCGGUGAAAUGCGUAGAUAUAUGGAAGAACACCAGUGGCGAAGGCGGCUGUCUGGUCUGCAACUGACGCUGAGGCUCGAAAGCAUGGGUAGCGAACAGG
rnacentral:rRNA from 1 species